GCGAAAUCUACUUGAUCUUAUCCGAGCAGUAGGAAGCCGCCUCUCGCCCUCUUUUCCGUCGCCGAAUGGGAAGAGGAAGUAGCGAAUGGCUUGGCACGCCCUGCGAUGAAGACUGCCUGCCGGCGGAGCACUAAAAAUUUCUUCUCUUAUUCUGAAGCGAAGCCGUGCAAUGACGCUCGCGCGGGCUCCCCAACCAUUCCUCUCAGUUUAUUUCUUCAUUUGUCGGAGUAUAAAUUUUGCUUUUGAUGCUGAAAAAUAUUUUUCUCGUUUUGAAUCUUUUUAUUUCUUCCUUUUUUUCUUUCUAAUCCUGCGUAAAACCGUUUCAAUAAUGCAGCGCAGAAUUUUUCUAGAGCAUGGAAAUUGUGAUCCUUUUGACGAUUCUUAAAAUUCCAUGAAAUUUUAUUUCUUGAUUGGCAGUUCUAUUUUAUUGGAGGAUUUAUAUGUAAUUUCAAACAAGAUUGAGUCUCUUGCGUACUUUUGGACUUGCGGCACGCUGAUGGAUUUAUCUCUGAUUGAGGAACUUAGCAUCCAAUGCUUGCAAAAGCAAUUACCGUUUAAUAUACUAUUUUACGACAGAUUUCAGUAAGAUUUGUAUUAAAUCCUUUCAUACAGCAUCGAAGGAGGCGAAAAAGUCAUUUAGCGAUUCGUUCAAAACUACCUCUCACACGAAGCAGGCGAAGUUGAAGAGCAACGAACAGCCGGAGAAGAGGAAAAGUAAACCCCAGCAAACUUGCGGUUAUAUGAAGGCAGUGCAGAACAGGGAGAAAGAGAGAACUCUUGGUGAGAAAAAAAGUGAAAAUGGUGGUGUAGAAGAACAGAAAUUUUGGAGGUUGUAGAGUCGGAUUCAAUCAUCAAAUAUAUCAUGGAAAUUGUUUGUUUUGAGGUUUGUCCUCCAUUUUAUGUGCCAGAUGGGAGAUGAAUUUUGAGCUGUAUGUGGAUAUAUGAUGGAAGAAGAAGAAACUGAGAGAAAUGUUCUUGAAUUUAUACAUUUCAUAAAUCAUUGUUCCUAUAUUAUCUUGAUACAUAUGCAUACCUUAAUGUGAUGUAAAUAAUGAGAAUGCUAUACAUGAUGUCUAUUAAGUUUCGACAA